rnacentral:tRNA from 1 species
GGAGAGGUGGCUGAGUGGUUGAAAGCGGCAGAUUGCUAAUCUGUUGUAUAAUCUUCUUUGUACCGAGGGUUCGAAUCCCUUCCUCUCCU